rnacentral:tRNA from 1 species
GGGGAAUUAGCUCAGCUGGUAGAGCGCCUGCUUUGCAAGCAGGAUGUCAGGAGUUCGAGUCUCCUAUUCUCCA